rnacentral:rRNA from 1 species
CCUACGGGUGGCAGCAGUCGAGAAUUAUUCACAAUGGGGGAAACCCUGAUGGUGCGACGCCGCGUGGGGGAAUGAAGGUCUUCGGAUUGUAAACCCCUGUCAUGUGGGAGCAAAUUAAAAAGAUAGUACCACAAGAGGAAGAGACGGCUAAAUCUGUGCCAGCAGCCGCGGUAAUACAGAGGUCUCAAGCGUUGUUCGGAAUCACUGGGCGUAACGCGUGCGUAGGCUGUUUCGUAAGGCGUGUGUGAAAGGUGCGGGCUCAACCCGCGGACGGCACAUGAUGCUGCGUGACUAGAGUGAGGGAGGGGGAAGCGGAAUGCGCGGUGUAGCAGUGAAAUGCGUAGAUAUCGAGAGGAACACUCGUGGCGAAGGCGGGUUCCUGGACAUUAACUGACGCUGAGGCACGAAGGCCAGGGGAGCGAAAGGGAUUAGAUACCCGGGUAGUC